UCAUACAUAAUGAACAUGAGAAGAAUAAGUUUCCCUAUAAACAACAUCAGAGGAGGUACUGAAGAUAAUAAUAAACUGUGAGCUUCAUUAAAACUUAGGAUGUGCAAAUUUAACGUGAGCAAAAUUAUGUGUUUCUUAUAAGGGAUAGGAAAAAGCCCCCAAAGAGAUAGAAAGAAUGCAGAAAUGAAAAGGAUAAUUGGGGAAAAGGCAAUCUAAAUACCAAGACCCUGGGAAAAGCGAGAAAGCCAUGCCCAUUCCAGGCCCUUGGACGAAGCAAAAAAGCCAGCAUCUUUUGUGAGUACCUAGUUUCAAAGGGAAGUUUACAUUGAACUAUGUAUCUGAUGUGUAAACAUCUCAUUAGUGAGGGGUACAUCACCACCAGCCAUGGGUGGUGAGAAUUCUUCAGGGUACCCCCAUCCUGCAACUGCCCCAGUUCAAAUCAGAUACCCCAGAGCUGCAACCAAGCUCAAGUUCCCAGCGCAGAACUAGAUGGAAGUGGGAAAUAGUCCUUGAAACUGGUGAAACAGCCCUUUCCAGGAAUAACGAACCCCGCAGCUUUACCAAAUAAGGCAAGUGAAAGCUAAAAGCCAAGGAGGAACAGGCUCAAGCUGUAUCUUUCCUAAAACUAGCCAGCUGGAUGAUAGAAAUGUCUCAGACAACGUGCCACCAGCCCAAAGAGCACAGACAUACUAAAGCAGAGGCAGCAGCUUCCCUGAAGCACGCACAGAGCUGGAAGAAGGAGAACACAUUCCAUACAUUUUUCUAGAAAGUCUAGUAUUGCUUUCACUUCCCUUGAGUCAUUUAGGUUUCUGAAAGCUAAUCAUCUCCCAGAAAAAAUCUAACAGAUGGUAAGACACUUUCACAGCCAUAAAGAGAUGUAUACAAAGGGUUAAGAGGCUUAGAAAGAAUACGUUGUCCAGUCAAUUGCUAGUCUGUUCCAGAAUGAAUCCUCUCUAUCCACUUCCUUUUCAUGCAACAUGGUCAACCACUCAUCAUCUUGGAUCUUUUUUUGUCCUUGAAGUGUGGAGCUGAUAACACAAAUCUCAGCAGAAUAGAGAAGCACACAAGACUAUGUCCAUCUUCACACCCACACCGGAGAACAGGCUGAGUGCAUACACAUGGACGCGUGGGGAGAAGAGGAGGUGACCAUCCGUCCCUUCACAGCAUGCUAACAAUUUUGUCAACUGGCUCCUCAACAUACUCAGGCUGGGGUGGCGGGGGUGGGGGAGGACAUUUUCCUACAGACACAGUAGGAACAUGGCCUCUAGGCAUUAAAUUAACCAGCGGUUUCUUUGGCAUGUUCGAACAAGUCUAGAACCCAAAGCGCAUAUGCUAAGGGGAGAGGAAAAUUGCCUACUUGAUAAAAAUAAGCGGUAUCUAACCUCUGAGCUCAGAGCUUGAUUUCUGAUGCCAGUUUGAUAAGACUGGCAAAUGCACUUCUUGGUAACAACACUGAGGCCAGUACGGGAGCACCGAGUAUUCAAGUCUCACACAUAGCAUGACUUAAGAAAUGACAGCAGCAUUAGGAAAUGUGCUAAAAUUUUUAAAGGCGUAACAACCCUGUCUUCUGGUUACCCUAACCUGUGAUCUGUUUAUUUCCAUUUUCCUUUUUAAAAAAAAAAAAUCCUAAAAAAAAAUAAAACUCACAAAAUC